rnacentral:snoRNA from 1 species
AGACCGUGAUGUGGGCAUUUCCUUAAUAGCUCAUUGAACCUCUCCCAUGUCUCGUACAACGAUUCCUCAUUUUCUUAAGAGUAGGUGUCAAUCUCUGUCAUGAGUUU